rnacentral:rRNA from 1 species
CACAAGCGGUGGAGCAUGUGGUUUAAUCGAAGCAACGCGAAGAACCUUACCAGGUCUUGACAUCCCGAUGCUAUUUCUAGAGAUAGAAAGUUACUUCGGUACAUCGGUGACAGGUGGUGCAUGGUUGUCGUCAGCUCGUGUCGUGAGAUGUUGGGUUAAGUCCCGCAACGAGCGCAACCCCUAUUGUUAGUUGCCAUCAUUCAGUUGGGCACUCUAGCGAGACUGCCGGUAAUAAACCGGAGGAAGGUGGGAUGACGUCAAAUCAUCAUGCCCCUUAUGACCUGGGCUACACACGUGCUACAAUGGUUGGUACAACGAGUUGCGAGUCGGUGACGGCGAGCUAAUCUCUUAAAGCCAAUCUCAGUUCGGAUUGUAGGCUGCAACUCGCCUACAUGAAGUCGGAAUCGCUAGUAAUCGCGGAUCAGCACGCCGCGGUGAAUACGUUCCCGGGCCUU